rnacentral:rRNA from 1 species
CCUACGGGCGGCAGCAGUGGGGAAUAUUGGACAAUGGGGGGAACCCUGAUCCAGCCAUGCCGCGUGUGUGAAGAAGGCCCUCGGGUUGUAAAGCACUUUCAGUGAGGAAGAACGCCUGGUGGUUAAUACCCAUCAGGAAAGACAUCACUCACAGAAGAAGCACCGGCCAACUCCGUGCCAGCAGCCGCGGUAAUACGGAGGGUGCGAGCGUUAAUCGGAAUUACUGGGCGUAAAGCGCGCGUAGGUGGCUUGAUAAGCCGGUUGUGAAAGCCCCGGGCUCAACCUGGGAAUGGCAUCCGGAACUGUCAAGCUAGAGUGCAGGAGAGGAAGGUAGAAUUCCCGGUGUAGCGGUGAAAUGCGUAGAGAUCGGGAGGAAUACCAGUGGCGAAGGCGGCCUUCUGGACUGACACUGACACUGAGGUGCGAAAGCGUGGGUAGCAAACAGGAUUAGAUACCCUAGUAGUC